UCUGCUCUGACAUGAGGCAGCUGCUGGGCUCUGCUCACCCCUGCAGCCAAACCCUUACCAUGUGUACCCAGUACACAAAGCUUGGCUGGAAUGCUACAGUACGGUUCCAACAAUUUGUAGAAUCACAGAAUGGUUUGGAUUGGAAGGGCCCUUAAAACCAUCGAGUUCCACCCCCUGCCAUGGGCAGGGACACCUCCCACCAGACCAGGUUGCUCAAAGUCCCAUCCAACCUGGCCUUGGGCACUGCCAGGGAUGGGGCAUCCACAGCUUCUCUGGGCAGCCUGUGCCAGGGCCUCACCACCCUCAUAGUGGGUGAAAUUUGUUUAAUGCACUUCUUCACAGAUUUAGUCUUAGUUUCUGACUCUGGGAUUAAAGCUACAGCUGCCUAGAGGAGCCUGCUAAAAAUUGAUCAAGGGAACUGUCAUCAUCUUUCUUUUUCUCUUAUGAAGUAUGUGUUUCUGUAUGGACACCACUGGCACACAGAGAUGAGGUAGGAAUGGAGCACAGAUGUGUUAAAACUUCAAUUAAAAGCAAAUUUCAAGCCUUAAGAGAGGUGAUACUUUGGGAUAGGGUGCGUGUGUUUUUCUUUCUUUGUUUUUCAUGAAAAGCAGAUAAAAACACUCAUAUCCUUAUGGACAGUACUUAAUAAGUUUAUCUUUUUAUAUGACGUGAGGGUAUGGAACUGGAUUUGAUUUUUUUUUGGACCCAUACAAGUGACUGGAAAUUUUGGUACAGUUGCCAGAGACAACAUCUGAUUUUUUCACUGGUCUCUAUUGCAAAUUAUAUUUCCAUCAGAGUACUUUUCAUGACGAAUUGUUCAUGAAAAUGCUUUCAGGAGGUAGAGCACCUGCUGAAGUCCUGCAUUGCAUAUUAAUGUAAAGGUGACAGGUCUUGCAAUUCUGGUGUGAUGUUCAACUCUGGCAACGUGCAAACUGCUUUUUGUUAAUGAAUUGUGCUAAGUAAUGCUUUACUAUUUUAUGUAUGUAAUUAUUAAUAUGUAAAUUACCAAUGCAGGUUGGCAGUUUGGCAGAGCAAGACCUUUUUAUAGUUUGUCUUGUUUAGACUGAAGAAAAUCAGAGGCAGUUAUGGAAAAAAAAAAAGAAAAAUGACUGAAAUGUAUAGUUGCAAUAGUAGUAAGCUGUGAUGUAGGCAUGAAACAUUAGUUAAAAUCCAUUAAAUGUUUAUUUAGUCAAAUAGUGACUUCAGUCAUGCAACAGAAUGGUUCCCUGCUAGUUCAAUAAAUCUAAUGAUGCAAAGCCGUAGCUUUCCUGA
rnacentral:lncRNA from 1 species